AUUCAGGAGAUCAUUUCCUCUGCAUGUAACUGCAAAGACUGCAGGAUCAUUGCUAAAUAUUCAAACGACAGCAGUAACAAGACAGUUGGGCUGCGGAGGUCGCGCCGGUGAGAUGAGACGGUGGCUGAGCAUCCUGCUGCUCCUGGAAUGGUUUAUCUAUCCGUGCCAUGGGGUGACGGUGACUCAGGAGAAAAAGCUUCUUAUGGUUCAUCUCGGGGAGAAGGUGGAGAUCCACUGUGACCACGAUGACACCACAGGCUCUUACACCAUGUACUGGUACCAGCAAAGGCUCGGAGAGGGCUUGAAGCUCAUGUUUCUCUCCGUAGACAUAAAGAGCCCCAACGCGGAGCCAGAGUUUGAGAAAACCUGGAACAUGUCUAGACCAGAUAAGAAACUGCUUCUGACAAAAGACAGAGCGGAAGCUCAGGACUCCGCUGUGUAUUACUGCGCCACCGGUCUCCACAGCCACAGAGAGCAGAGCAUCAGCCAGCACAAAACCUGCAGCUCGCAGCACUGCCGCAACCUGCCAGCAGGGGGGGCUGGGGCUACAGGUAUAUGA